CCUACGGGAGGCAGCAGUGGGGAAUUUUGGACAAUGGGCGCAAGCCUGAUCCAGCAAUGCCGCGUGAGUGAAGAAGGCCUUCGGGUUGUAAAGCUCUUUUGUCAGGGAAGAAACGGCUGAGGUUAAUACCUUCGGCUAAUGACGGUACCUGAAGAAUAAGCACCGGCUAACUACGUGCCAGCAGCCGCGGUAAUACGUAGGGUGCAAGCGUUAAUCGGAAUUACUGGGCGUAAAGCGUGCGCAGGCGGUUUUGUAAGUCUGACGUGAAAUCCCCGGGCUCAACCUGGGAAUUGCGUUGGAGACUGCAAGGCUGGAGUCUGGCAGAGGGGGGUAGAAUUCCACGUGUAGCAGUGAAAUGCGUAGAGAUGUGGAGGAACACCGAUGGCGAAGGCAGCCCCCUGGGUCAAGACUGACGCUCAUGCACGAAAGCGUGGGGAGCAAACGAGGUAUAGAUACCCUGGUAGUCCACGCCCUAAACGAUGUCUACUAGUUGUCGGGUACUUAAUUGACUUGGUAACCGCGAGCGUACGUACGUCGUAGUAGACCGACCGUCGGGAGGUACGGUCGGUCGAGAAGUUAAACGUUAACUAAGUUAGUUAAGUUAGUUACGGCGUUGAGACGNGCGACGGACGACGACGAGGGAGGAGG
rnacentral:rRNA from 1 species